GAUGAACGCUGGCGGCGUGCCUAAUACAUGCAAGUCGAGCGAACAGAUGAGGAGCUUGCUCCUCUGACGUUAGCGGCGGACGGGUGAGUAACACGUGGAUAACCUACCUAUAAGACUGGGAUAACUUCGGGAAACCGGAGCUAAUACCGGAUAAUAUAUUGAACCGCAUGGUUCAAUAGUGAAAGACGGUUUUGCUGUCACUUAUAGAUGGAUCCGCGCCGCAUUAGCUAGUUGGUAAGGUAACGGCUUACCAAGGCAACGAUGCGUAGCCGAUCUGAGAGGGUGAUCGGCCACACUGGAACUGAGACACGGUCCAGACUCCUACGGGAGGCAGCAGUAGGGAAUCUUCCGCAAUGGGCGAAAGCCUGACGGAGCAACGCCGCGUGAGUGAUGAAGGUCUUCGGAUCGUAAAACUCUGUUAUUAGGGAAGAACAAAUGCGUAAGUAACUAUGCACGUCUUGACGGUACCUAAUCAGAAAGCCACGGCUAACUACGUG
rnacentral:rRNA from 1 species